rnacentral:tRNA from 1 species
UGUUCUGUGACUUAGCUGGUUAAAGCGCCGGUCUAGCGACCUCGGAAGCGUGGGUUCGAAUCCCACCAGAACGC